GCCAAUCACGUGCAGCACUAGUGCGAGAGAACUGAAGCAUAUGUACGUUUCGCAUUGCAGUACAGAGACUAUAGCAUAUUGCUUAUCAACAAAGCAAUACAUAAUCACAAUGUAAUAUAUCUCGCACAAUCAGAUGUGUUUCGUGCCCUGGGCUCUGAGUUCUAAUCUGCAGGAAUCAUUGACCCUCCCUCAUUGCACACAUUAUGUCAGACUGGGAGGGGUGGUGGGAAUGCAGAGAUUCCAUGCGUGACGCUUGCUUAGACGCGCCACAUCGUACCCAUGCACAGAAUUCCCUCCAUGGCACCCUCGGUUGAUAGGAACUAGCCCCAUCCACCCUGACCUUACACCCUUUUUAGGGUUUGAAAGUGGCACACCAAAGUCUCUCCUAAACCCCACCCACUUCUGUAUCCCCCAUACUGCCAAUGCGGAAAGAAAGAGAAAUCCCUGCAGCUACGCAAACCAAAAAAUGUUCAUAAGAAGCACUUUUAAUUGCCAGAUUGCAUGUGUUAAC